UACAUGGGGUGCAACCGUUGCUCGGAAUCAUUGGGCGUAAAGCGCGCGUAGGCGGUUACUUAAGUCGAAUGUGAAAGCCCUCGGCUUAACCGAGGAAGUGCAUCCGAAACUGAGUAGCUAGAGUACGAAAGAGGGUCGCGGAAUUCCCGGUGUAGAGGUGAAAUUCGUAGAUAUCGGGAGGAACACCGGUGGCGAAGGCGGCGACCUGGGUCGAGACUGACGCUGAGGCGCGAAAGCGUGGGGAGCAAACAGG
rnacentral:rRNA from 1 species